UGGGGAAUAUUGGGCAAUGGGCGAAAGCCUGACCCAGCGACGCCGCGUGGGCGAUGAAGGCCUUCGGGUUGUAAAGCCCUGUCAUGCGGAAAGAACGACCCUGUGACGAAUAAUCAUGGGGAGUGACGGUACCGCAGGAGGAAGCACCGGCUAACUCCGUGCCAGCAGCCGCGGUAAUACGGAGGGUGCAAGCGUUGUUCGGAAUUAUUGGGCGUAAAGGGCGCGUAGGCGGCAGUGUAAGUCAGAUGUGAAAUACUCUGGCACAACCAGAGAACAGCAUCUGAAACUGCACAGCUAGAGUACAGAAGAGGGAAACGGAAUGCCCGGUGUAGAGGUGAAAUUCGUAGAUAUCGGGAGGAACACCAGUGGCGAAGGCGGUUUCCUGGUCUGAUACUGACGCUGAGGCGCGAAAGCGUGGGGAGCAAACA
rnacentral:rRNA from 1 species